UUGCUGAGAAAAUUCCAGAGAUAUACAUCCCUCAUCAAGAGUCCUGGUAUCAGUAAAGAAAUGGUUGGAGAAAGAGAGACAUUGCUUGGCCAGCUGACUGUACAUCAAAAGUCAUUGCAACAGAACUUCAGUGACGUUAGUGGCGGGAGAGCACCUAAGGGAAAGAACUUGCCUGAGUUUGUCAACACUAUUGUAUAUGUGAGACAGAUAGAAGCUAAGCUAGAAGAGAACAUAAAGACUGCAGAAUGUUUACUCAGUGAUCUGAGCGGAUUCUAGAGAUUUAGAAACUUUAAGGAUGCUACAGAGUUCCUUGAUGAGAUGGUCAACUGGAGACAGGAGGCUUUUGACGAGUGUUCACGUGACAUACAGGCGCUCAUUGAUGACACAAAAA